UACUACCCCCCAGGGCCCUACACGCCAGGGC
rnacentral:piRNA from 1 species